rnacentral:rRNA from 1 species
GGAUAACGUCCGGAAACGGGCGCUAAUACCGCAUACGUCCUGAGGGAGAAAGUGGGGGAUCUUCGGACCUCACGCUAUCAGAUGAGCCUAGGUCGGAUUAGCUAGUUGGUGGGGUAAAGGCCUACCAAGGCGACGAUCCGUAACUGGUCUGAGAGGAUGAUCAGUCACACUGGAACUGAGACACGGUCCAGACUCCUACGGGAGGCAGCAGUGGGGAAUAUUGGACAAUGGGCGAAAGCCUGAUCCAGCCAUGCCGCGUGUGUGAAGAAGGUCUUCGGAUUGUAAAGCACUUUAAGUUGGGAGGAAGGGCAGUAAGUUAAUACCUUGCUGUUUUGACGUUACCAACAGAAUAAGCACCGGCUAACUUCGUGCCAGCAGCCGCGGUAAUACGAAGGGUGCAAGCGUUAAUCGGAAUUACUGGGCGUAAAGCGCGCGUAGGUGGUUCAGCAAGUUGGAUGUGAAAUCCCCGGGCUCAACCUGGGAACUGCAUCCAAAACUACUGAGCUAGAGUACGGUAGAGGGUGGUGGAAUUUCCUGUGUAGCGGUGAAAUGCGUAGAUAUAGGAAGGAACACCAGUGGCGAAGGCGACCACCUGGA